GCCAGACUCCUACGGGAGGCAGCAGUGGGGAAUAUUGCACAAUGGGGGGAACCCUGAUGCAGCAAUGCCGCGUGAAGGAUGAAGGUUUUCGGAUUGUAAACUUCUUUUAUCAGGGACGAAGCAAGUGACGGUACCUGAUGAAUAAGCCACGGCUAACUACGUGCCAGCAGCCGCGGUAAUACGUAGGUGGCAAGCGUUAUCCGGAUUUACUGGGUGUAAAGGGCGUGUAGGCGGGAAAGCAAGUCAGAUGUGAAAACCAUGGGCUCAACCUGUGGCCUGCAUUUGAAACUGUUUUUCUUGAGUACUGGAGAGGCAGACGGAAUUCCUAGUGUAGCGGUGAAAUGCGUAGAUAUUAGGAGGAACACCAGUGGCGAAGGCGGUCUGCUGGACAGCAACUGACGCUGAGGCGCGAAAGCGUGGGGAGCAAACAGGAUUAGAUACCCUCGUAG
rnacentral:rRNA from 1 species